rnacentral:lncRNA from 1 species
AAGAGUAAAGUACUUCCGCUUCCUUAGGUGGAGCUGGAAAGGUGGAGGCGGAAGUGACUGAUCAAUUCAGGGGCGUGGGGUUCGUUUAGGUUUUGCCCUGUGUAUGACCUCGUUUGGAGCCAUGAAACCAGGUCACCAUGUGUGAUGACUACAUCCAAAGAGAGUGAGUGGCUUGAGACAUUGGUAGUAUGUGUAUCUGAUCAUAUCAAUAUGUUAAAAUGACGUUCAAAGUAUGAUCUACCUCAGAAUAAUCUAGCCUCAAGCUUUAUUCUAGGAAGAUACAAGGGACAGAAUAGUUAGCAGUGUUCCUGUUGAAAGGUCCAAGUAUCUCCCUAGGCACAGAAAACACCCAAAUGAGCAAAGCAGACCUUGGUGGCCAGAGGGGAGCCCUCAGGUAGAGCUGCAGAUGCUGGCAGUUUGUGUUAGAAGGUUCCGGGGCUAAACAGAUGCCUAGAAUUAGCCACCAAAAGGUAAAUUGUAGACUCCACUCUUCAAGAAGCAGCAGAAGGAUUAGGAAUUCAAACAGUGCUAUUUUACGGUCAUAAGAACAGACAGUAUUUUUUUGGCGCAGCAAGAACUUCUUAGGCCAUAAAGCAUGACAGACCUCUUUUCCUUAUGCGCUGAAUUGAAGAAGUGCUGACUCUUUUGCUGAUGGAAGCUCUUCCACGAGUUCACGAAUGGAAAUAACAUCAAGAGUUUUUCAUCUUCUUAGUGUGCAAGAUGUCUGAGGAAUAGUCUUAGUGGAUUAUCCCAAACUUGACACAUUUUUUGCAAAAUGCUAUACAAAAAGAAGAUACAUGCGAUUAUGACAAGAUUCUCCACUUGGUGUGACCAGUCUCAUACAACCCAAGGCUGUGUGUCCAAAGGCAACUGUACUGAUCUUGACAAUAAUCAAAAGGUAGCCAGGUGCAUCGGGGAAAGCACUGACAUUGGAGUCAGACAGACUGAAGUUCAUAUCUGAUUCUGCUAUAUGACAACGUGUGGGCUAUGUGGCUAACUUCUCAGAGCUUCAGUUUUCUCAAGGGCAAAAUGAAAAUAAUAGAAAUAAUAGAAUCCACCUCACAGGGCUGUGGUGAGAAUUGGAGAUGAAGCACAUACAGCAUAUUACAUCAACUAAACACAUGCUAAGCACAUGACAGAAUUGCUCUGUUGAAGUUUUGCAAGGUCAAAUGACUCACUUUGUCUAAUGGAACGGGAACGAACAAUUUUUUUGUGUCACGUUUGAACAGAUACCUUUGAGAAGUUUAUGAUUCUCCAAGUUCUCUUUCUCCUACUGUGGCACCUACUGACAAGAUAAAUGUGUAGAGGUUCCUGAGUCUAGGGGCACUGGAACCAGCUGACUGAUCUAUGGAAGUUCCCUUGGUCUCCAUUUGUUUAGAAAAGGGAUGAAGAAACUGAGGCCCACAGAAGGUGGGUGAUACCUGCAAAAUCACAAGCUUUCAUGGUGAAAGAAGAGGGCAAAACUCAACCCGUCUCUUUAGACUUGGGAAGAAUAUGAAAGGACCAGGAGGGACACCUUUCCUAAUAACCUAGCUGAUGGUUCACUUAUUGUAAGCACAUUCUCAAACAAGAGGCUGGAAAGCUGAAAAAUGACAUUCCCAGACUCCAUUGAAAUUAGAUUUCCAGAGGUGAUUUAUGUUCCACACAUCAGAUGUAUAUGCUCAAGAUUUGUUUAACAGGGAAGGAGGCAGUGGUGUGUGGGUCCCUUUUGCUCAUGUGAAUCUUACAGAGUUGUCUCACUAAGCCCAAAUUUGUCUAACUGGCCUUAUUUCCCUGGAGUAUAUCCUGGAAGUUUCCAUUCAAGCCAAUUUAAGUUACUUUAAAUUAGGAAAGGCAGAAAACAAAAGCCCAAACCUUUGUAAAGGAGGAGGAUUUGCUACAUUGUUCUCAAUUCAUCACAGAAGAGGAUGAAACUGAGUGAUUACACUUGCUGGAGAGAAAAAAAGUCCUUCCCCCGCUCACCCCAAAUAAAGCAUUAACUUUAUGUUAAUCCAUGAA